GUUCUUUGUGAUAUUUCAGCGACUUGCUUUUUGUAUGUAGUAAAGAGUUUAUAUUUAAAUAAGACAGUGAGACUACCUUGGGGAGGUCAUCCAAAUCCCAGUCAGGUGGUGGGUGAGUGCUGGGGAGUCUCCCCAAGAAAGCAAUGAGACAUGGAUGCUCCAUGGCUUGAUGAUGGUUAGGAUUGGUGGCCCAAUUUCACAGGUUCCCUGGUAUAGGUUCUUUGUGCAUUCCACCUGCCCAAGAAGUUGUCUAGGCAGCAAAAGCAUCUACUUAAAAGCUAAAGUGGCUUGAUGAGGCAUACUCCUGGGACAAGAAGAUCAAAUGUAGGGCUAGAUGGAUUUGUUACUCCUCUGCCUUCCUGUCAGUAGGCAGCAUUGAAAAUAAACUAGUUAAAAAGUAAAAAAAAAAAAAAAAA
rnacentral:lncRNA from 1 species